rnacentral:rRNA from 1 species
GAUGAACGCUGGCGGCGUGCCUAAUACAUGCAAGUAGAACGCUGAAGGAAGGAGCUUGCUCUUUCCGGAUGAGUUGCGAACGGGUGAGUAACGCGUAGGUAACCUGCCUGGUAGCGGGGGAUAACUAUUGGAAACGAUAGCUAAUACCGCAUAACAGUAGAUGUUGCAUGAUAUCUACUUAAAAGGUGCAAUUGCACCACUACCAGAUGGACCUGCGUUGUAUUAGCUAGUUGGUGAGGUAACGGCUCACCAAGGCGACGAUACAUAGCCGACCUGAGAGGGUGAUCGGCCAAACUGGGACUGAGACACGGCCCAGACUCCGACGGGAGGCAGCAGUAGGGAAUCCUCGGCAAUGGACGGAAGUCUUACCGAGCAACGCCGCGUGAGUGAAGAAGGUUUUCGGAUCGUAAAGCUCUGUUGUAAGAGAAGAACGAGUGUGAGAGUGGAAAGUUCACACUGUGACGGUAUCUUACCAGAAAGGGACGGCUAACUACGUG